GGCCUCUCGAAAUGACAAACUACAUAUAGCUAUGUACAAAACUAUACAAUAAUAAAAAAUGAAUUCAUAGUUAAUAAUACAGCGGCAGUGGCGAGCGGUUCAUUAAUCGAAUAAUUUGGCGGAGUUUGGCGGAAGGUCUAACCAGUAGCGGCUAUCUCGAAAAAUUGUACAGGUGCUUUUACUUAAAAAAACCUAGUACAAACAGACAGUACCCCUAUAGUACUAUAUAUUAGUACUACCAAUAUUUAAAGUUUAAUUAAUUUUAUUUGAGGUUUUGUCGUAUGAUUGUUUCUAACAAAAAAAAAAAAAAAAAAAAAAAACAAAAAAACCUAGUAAGUAUAAAUAAAUUUAUUUAAGAAUGCUGUUCUCAGUGUGAGGAAAAGAAUUUAAUUGAAAAUUGAAAAUAGUGCCUGAAUUUUUAAAUUCAUUGUGAAACAAGCUUGAUAUAACAGUAAUAAAAAAAAAAAUAAUAAUAACUGCACGACGAGCGACGGUGUGUGAUGUAUAUGGUAUAUCGAAACAGCAGUUGUCCAUUUAAACUGUGUAAAAUACAGACAAAUUUGUUAAAUGAUAUAACUAAUUUUCUAAUAUAUAAAUUAAUUACUAGUAAGCUCCAAAACAUCAGAAAUAUUGUGUGUAAUGCACUUUUGUAAAAAUCAUCAAAAUCGUAGGUACACUUAGAAAUUAAGUUAUAAAUGAAAAUAUGUGGAAUUUUUAAUGGAAGUUUAUAUUGAAUUCAGAAUCAUAGAUAUAUCACGGCAUUCGUUUCUAGCGUCGUCGUUGCCAUAGAUAAUAAUAAUUCUUUAUUAUUAUUAUUAUUUGCAUUGAUGAUAAAAAUUAGUGAAAUUACAACAAAACCCUUCGUAAACUACGUGUAAAAAUGGCUAAGCAAAAAAAAAAAAUAAAAGAGUUAGACAUAGAAUAUUAUUGAUAGUUAAUUUUUUAUAAGAUAAAAGCGCAUAAAUUCACAUUUAUAACAUUUAAAAAUGAAUAAUUCCUUCUACUCCACGGAAGUAAGUUAUUAAUAAUAAUCUUUGACACAUGUUUUUUUUAAUCUGGCCACAAAAUCGAGUAACUAUGAAACAAUAAACAGAAUUUAUUGACACUGUAUUGGGUAUACGUAACGGUGAUUUUCCGAAAAUAAUCAGUCUUCUUCGACAACUCAAGCCUUCAACAUCUAGAAGAAAUAAAAACAACCAAGAAGAAUCGUAGUGAAGAAACCGACCAGCAGAACAAAUAGUUACUACGACGAUCAGACCAGAGACAAGUACCCAGCGCCGGAUACAAGGUAAGUAUAAGUGGAAUAUGGCUCCUGGCGAUACCACUAUAAA